rnacentral:rRNA from 1 species
AUUGAACGCUGGCGGCAGGCCUAACACAUGCAAGUCGGACGGUAGCACAGAGAGCUUGCUCUCGGGUGACGAGUGGCGGACGGGUGAGUAAUGUCUGGGGAUCUGCCCGAUAGAGGGGGAUAACCACUGGAAACGGUGGCUAAUACCGCAUAACGUCGCAAGACCAAAGAGGGGGACCUUCGGGCCUCUCACUAUCGGAUGAACCCAGAUGGGAUUAGCUAGUAGGCGGGUAAUGGCCCACCUAGGCGACGAUCCCUAGCUGGUCUGAGAGGAUGACCAGCCACACUGGAACUGAGACACGGUCCAGACUCCUACGGGAGGCAGCAGUGGGGAAUAUUGCACAAUGGGCGCAAGCCUGAUGCAGCCAUGCCGCGUGUAUGAAGAAGGCCUUCGGGUUGUAAAGUACUUUC